GCUUGAGGGUGAGAGAGAUGCAGCGAGUGAGUGUGGUGGAGUUUAGGCUCUACGUGCGUGUGACUUAAAUUAUAUAUAUAUAUAUAUAUAUAUAUAAUUUUUUUAGAAUUUGAGUGUGUGCGUGCAUGCAGCUGCUCUCCUCAUUUACACAUUGAUCUUAUUUGAUCUCCCCGUGUGUUGCCGCCUGCACCGGGGGUGAUAUGAUAGUACCUCUCUGGCUAUGCUCCUCUCUGUGGGGGCUGUGUGCCCAGAAUCUGGCGCUACAGGCUGCUUUCUCUGGAUAUGAUGAUUUGAUCAGAUAUACUAAACUGGUUUACCGGUUUAUGAGUAUAGAGGCGAUUCUGAUCCAA